CCCAGGGCGUUGCCCUGGGCUGGUAUGUCACGGCCCUUCAGGCCU
rfam:Desulfobacteraceae bacterium 4572_87 ex4572_87_scaffold_22934, whole genome shotgun sequence.